CGUGGGUAACCUGCCCAAGAGAUCGGGAUAACACCUGGAAACAGAUGCUAAUACCGGAUAACAACAGAUGAUGCCUAUCAACUGUUUAAAAGAUGGUUCUGCUAUCACUCUUGGAUGGACCUGCGGUGCAUUAACUAGUUGGUAGGGUAACGGCCUACCAAGGCGAUGAUGCAUAGCCGAGUUGAGAGACUGAUCGGCCACAUUGGGACUGAGACACGGCCCAAACUCCUACGGGAGGCAGCAGUG
rnacentral:rRNA from 1 species